UACAGAGGUCUCAACCGUUGUUCGGAUUCAUUGGGCGUAAAGGGUGCGUAGGCGGUCGCGCAAGUCGGAUGUGAAAUCUCGAGGCUCAACCUCGAAACUGCAUUCGAUACUGCGUGGCUAGAGUGCUGGAGAGGAGACUGGAAUUUACGGUGUAGCAGUGAAAUGCGUAGAUAUCGUAAGGAAGACCAGUGGCGAAGGCGAGUCUCUGGACAGCAACUGACGCUGAGGCACGAAGGCCAGGGGAGCAAACGGG
rnacentral:rRNA from 1 species